rnacentral:rRNA from 1 species
UACGUAGGGUGCAAGCGUUGUCCGGAAUUAUUGGGCGUAAAGAGCUCGUAGGCGGUCUGUUGCGUCGGCUGUGAAAACCCGGGGCUCAACCCCGGGCCUGCAGCCGAUACGGGCAGACUAGAGUUCGGCAGGGGAGACUGGAAUUCCUGGUGUAGCGGUGAAAUGCGCAGAUAUCAGGAGGAACACCUAUGGCGAAGGCAGCUCGCUGGGACGUUACUGACGCUGAGACGCGAAAGCGUGGGGAGCAAACAGG